GCCGGGGUAGCCUAGCCUGGAAUGGGCGCCAGACUCAUAACCCAGAGGUCGCGGGCUCGAAUCCCGCCCCCGGCACCA
rnacentral:tRNA from 1 species